rnacentral:rRNA from 1 species
UACGGGGGGGGCAAGCGUUGUUCGGAAUUACUGGGCGUAAAGGGCUCGUAGGCGGCCAACUAAGUCAGACGUGAAAUCCCCAGGCUCAACCUGGGAACUGCGUCUGAUACUGGAUGGCUUGAAUCCGGGAGAGGGAUGCAGAAUUCCAGGUGUAGCGGUGAAAUGCGUAGAUAUCGAGAGGAACACCGGUGGCGAAGGCGGCGAUCUGGACGAUGACUGACGCUGAGACGCGAAAGCGUGGGGAGCAAACAGG